UUCAGGGCCUCUCUUUUGACGGUAACACCUCUGUUUGCUUUAGGUAAGAUACAGAAAAAUAACGGUCACCGAACCUCUUUAGCUUGUUGUACGCAUCUGUUUCUGUAAGAUAAGAACCCCCACACCUCUUUCUUCCGAUCGAUCAAUUUCAUAAUUGGUUUGGACUGAACAGUGAGCACAUCAGAGCCUGUCUUGUUUAUGAAAAAAACAACUGAAUCUACUAAAUGUUGACACCUUUUUUUUGAGAUGACACGUUCAUUGCCUCUAUUUCAGACACAGAUGACGAUGUUGAAUUGAUUGAGGAGUCAGAUGUUGACAUAUCUGACUUAGACCGCUAUCUUCACGAUCAGAGAGCUUUCUCCUCUCCGAAAAGAACUCGCCUCGGUUCAGCUUCUAAAGGCUGUAAACUCACAGACAGCCAAAGACAGAUUCUCCGUGGUGCUACCUCAAUAGGAAAACAUCUCACAGUUGACAGAGGAGGCAAAAGUGUGACUGGAGCUCGCAUACCAAUACGCAGAAGGAGGCGGAGAAAUGAGAGGAGGUCCAGACGCAAAUACACCCAAG